rnacentral:lncRNA from 1 species
AGGGCCACACUUGCGGCAUAUGGAGGUCUCUAGGCUAGGGCUCUAAUCGGAGCUGUAGCCGCCGACCUACGCCAGAGCCACAGCAAUGCAGAAUCAGAGCCGCGUCUGCAAGCUACACCACAGCUCAUGGCAACACCCAAUCCCUAACCCACUGAGCAAGGGCAGGGAUCGAACCAGCAACCUCAUGGUUCCUAGUCAGAUUUAUUAACCACUGAACUACAACGGGAACUCCUUUUUUUUUUUUUUGAUAUUUCUUGUUAAAUAUCAUUUCCCUUUAUGUUCAAGGUCAGAUGCUGACCUUCCUGUCCCACUUCCUGCUCCUCACACUCUCUGGUAUAUCCACUUUAUUGCUAAUAAUUAUUCAUCCUGGGGUUGAUCUUUUAUUACUCUCCGACCAAUUCAUGGACCCUGUUUCUACUUCUUCCUCCAUCUUUACCUAUUCCUGGGAUGUUGCUCCAGGUGACUACAUGGGAGAGAGGUUGAGGCAGGAGGAGUUAGUGUAAGGGCUGAGCACAUAGUCAGGGAAGGAAGUAGAUACCUAUUGAACAGUAUAUUCAAAGUUCUGCCCUGUCCUUCACUACCUUUUUCACCAUGACCAUGAGAAUCUUACUGGUCCCAAAGGCCACUCCCCUGCACUUAGGCAAACAUGCCACAGAAUGAAAGUGGGAGAUAAUUACUUGGAUUGACUCAUUCUUUUCCCUCCACUCGCACUUUUCCCUUCACACCACUAAUAAUACACAAGGGCUAGAGAAGGGAGGAGGCUAAGUCAGUCAACAAGUGAAAAUGUUAGGUGUUUGUGGGCAGGCAGGUGGUUUGUGGUAAAGUAUUCACAUGAUUGUGAAAUGCAAGAAUGGUAGUGGUCAAGGAUGGGAUGUCAGUUUAUAAGGCAAGGGCUAAAGCGUCAGAAAACUAUUGCUCUGUUGGGGCCAGCUAGUGUUUUGGGAAAGAAUGGCAGUCAUUGAGGUUAAGGCUGAAUAUAAUUAUGGAAGCCAGACCAAGUGUUAAAAUGGCAAUUUACUAAUGGUUACAGUUUUAGAAUUGCCAUCAGCUUAUGACCCUCUAUUUCUCCUUCCACCGUCUCAUUUUCCAAAUUGCUAAAUUACAGAAUAUUCAAGGGUUUCUUCAGGAAGAAAGUCACCAUUCUCUAACCCGUGUGAUCCUAGUCAGUACCCUAACACAAGCCAUUUCUGAAAAGCCCAAGUCACAAAACACAAUUUUCAUAUAGUUCUCAAAAUGUCUGGUCUUAAACACAGUGUUCUCAAGUUCCAAGAAGAGAGAGAAAUUUUUGAGAAGAAACUUUAAAGGACUUUACUGCUAGAUAAGUGAGGAAUGAAUGAGGAGAGCUGUGAUAACCAUCAAGCGGGAUCUUAAAAGGGAUGCAUUUCAAACAGACCAUAUCAUAGUUGUAGCUCUUAGUCACCAAAAAACAGAAUAGAACCCAAACCACAGUAACCUUCAUCUGUGAAGCCAACAUUCAUUUCUCAUGCACCUCUACAAAUUCCCCACCAUGUUCCUGUGAGGAACGCACACAUAAGUAAACAGAUACUCAAAAACCCAUCAAGACAAAAGGUUUUAUUAUUUUUUCUAUAGAGAGAUUGAGCCUCUAAGAUCUGAGUGAAGUGGUCACCGUUGUUUAAAAGGGAAGAAACUCCAAGGGAACAGGAAAUCUCUUUAAGGAAAAAGUCACUUCUCCAAGCUGCUGUGCCUUUCAUCAGUGAUUCCUUUGCUCGGCACUUAAAAAACUAUCAAAGGUUUUGUUUAUUUAGGACAUCUAGUCUUGGAGUUCUCUUGCGGUGCCAUCAGUUAAGGAUCUGGCAUUGUCACUGCAGCAGCUUGGGCCGCUGCUCCGGCAUGAGCAUGGCCAAAAAAAGAGACACCUAGUCUUCUACAAGCUGUUAGAAUGUCUAUGAAAGACUCUGUCUCUUUAGACUAGACCUGGAGUUAAAUUUUAAAACAAUGGAGUCCAAAAAAGAAGAGACUUUUAGGAUUUCAAAUGCUCUUCAAAAGUUAGCCCAACACACAGAACAAGGUCACCAGAAACCUCUUUUGUGAAAAUGAUCACAGGAGCACACAAAUACCUUCUAGCAUUCCUUUAUUAGACAGUUUCUCUAGUUCAUAUGAAUGGGAGGGCAUGGUGGGAGAGGGGCCUGCUGUUAGGAAAACUGAAGUCAGAGGAACUAUUCGGGUCGGAAUCUGGACUUGGCCAUUACAUUCAGCACUUUGUCUUGGGAACAUCACUGGAUCUCAUUUUCCCUACAUGUAAAAUGAAGUUAAGAGUAACUUUCUAUCUCCUCAUAAGUAUAUAGUCGGGAUAAAAUGAGAUGAGGAAUGGAAAGCAUUCUGAGAUAUAAAAAUACACAUUGACUUUGGCCUGUACUCAGAAAUUCUAGCCCUCCACAAACACACAUGCACCCUUGUCCAGAUGCACCAUAAAAGGCAGCCUCAGAUGACUAAGAAAGAAAAAAAGGAGAAAACUGAAAAAUCCCCAAACACAGAGCCUAUCAAUUGAUAAAGAGCUGAUUCUGAGAACUUAUGUUCAACUGGGUGCAAAUCGAAUUGUUCCCACAUUUAUUUCUCAAUCCAGAAGAACCCAAGCUGAAACUUCCCCUUUAUAGGUACUGUUUGGGCACUUAGUGAUACACUGUUCUGAUCCAAUGCUAAGAAGGAAAGAAGACGUCUUACUUCUCAGAGUCCCAGGUCCUGCCACACAAAAUAAAGUGAUGAGGAAAAAUGGCCAUAAGGGUUCUUUAACUAACAUUUUGAGUUUUGAAAAUUGAAGGCAAAGGAGGGCAGAACUGAUGGACUGGCGAGUGCAUGUGCUGGGCACCAGGCCAAACAUUUUGCCUUCCCAUUGUCUCCUCAUAAUGAAAAUAACUUGGGUUCAAUUCAGGCCAACGCAGUCUUAAUCUACCACUGGUCUGUAAAUCAAUCACUAGACUCAACUCAAAAGCAGCUGAUUCUAUUUCUGUCUGAUAGUCCAUGCCAAAACUCAACCCCCGGUUUGUUUGGUUUUAAUAAAUUUAUUCUGUUGUUGCGAACAUUGUGCAAAAUGGAAAAAAACAAGUCUAGACUGGUUUGAGUUCAGGAAGUUAGGGCAGGGUCUCUUUAUUAAAAAUAAACAUCCUCCUCCUCACUUCCUUUCUACACUUUUCUCACAAAUCUGCUCCCCAAAGCUCUUGGAAUCUGGGGCUCCAACAUGUGCUUGUUGCCUUGGGUCUAUGUAUGCAGCACCUCCAUGAAUAAUAAAACCAAGAACACAGGAGGUUCCUAAAGGCAGCUGACUAUGACACAAGUUGGACAUGACAAAACGCUAAUCACCUGGAUCCUAGUAGGAUAUUUUAUCUUCCUUUUGUAAAAGUUGUCAUAUUAAUCCCACUGAAUGAAGCACAUUUUUGUCUGAAUCUUGCAUUCUAUGUUCUUUGGCACUCACUGCCCUUCUAGUUUUAACUAAGGAUGGUGACCUCUAUCACUUCCUGUCCCAACACUCUAUUCAAACCUGCAACUAAAGCCAGGAUUGCGUUUGUUUCAGUCCUCUCCCUCUACCUUUAAGGGUUCCCUUUUCCUUUUGGGUCUGACCCCCCUGCUUUUUUUUUCUCCCCAGGAGAUUUUGUGAAGUGCUGUUAAAGUAUUAAGGUUUCUGAUUAGUGAAGGACACAGUGAUCCACAAAAGGAACCCCACUAAUAGUUAUUUCUAGUUCUUUAAAAAAUGCUUGGAAGGACCUGGUAGAAGGGAGAAUAACACGGCUUUGAUCACAUAGACUCUGGGGUCAGAUGAUGUGAUUCUACUACUCAUUAACAGAAAAAUAGGAGUUCCCACUGUGGCACAGUGGGUUGAGAAUCUGACUGCAGUGGCUCAGGUCACUUUGGAGGCAUGGUUUUGAUAUGAUCCCUGGCCCUGCACCAUAGGUUAAAGGAUCUGGCAUAGCUGAAGUUGUGGGGUAGGUCGCAGCUGUGGCUUGGAUUCAAUCCCUGGCCUGGGAACUUCCAUAUGCUGUAAGCACAGUUAUUUAAAAAAAAAAAAAAAAGUAGUAGUAGGAAAAAUAACAGAACUAACCUCAUAGAUUGAUUGUGAAGAUUCAAAGAAAUAGCACAAUUUAAGGACUUGGCACGGAGCAAGCAUUGACUAUCAUACUUGAGAAAUACUCCAAAGUGGACAGAUGUCACUCACUUCACAAGCUUUCUUUGUUUUUCCUUUCUUUCCCUGGUUUGUGCUAAGGUACUAGCUGUUCAUUUUACCUAGAAUGUCCACCCACCUUCCCUAGCUGGCAGCCCCUCAUCUGCCAUUAAGGUCCCCCUUCAAAUGGGUCUCUGUGGAGAUUUCCUUGGGUUUCUGGGUUCCCCAGCACAUGGUAUAUGCCUUGAAUAAUAUAGCAUUGGGCACAUCUUAUUGCCACUAUUAAUUAAUAUAUAUAUGCAUAUAUAUACAUAUAUAUAGCAUAUAGCACACAUAUACACAUACAUAUAGCAUAUAGUACACACUGAGAACUCAAUACAUAAUUUAGAUGUCUCUGGACUAUGUCCCCAAACCUGUUUUCAACAGCUUCUCUCCACCACCACAUCUAUGCUGAGUCAAAAAUGUAUGAGCACAUGACAGCAGCCAUGAGAAGGGACAGAGCUACCUGGGGCACACAGAAGGUUUUGGCACUCAGUGUUGGAGCACAGCAAGUAGGGCUUUAAGACUCAGGACCAGAUCUGAACAAAUCAAGAGACUCACAGAGCUUAUCUAUUUGGUUUAGAAAAUUAGCUUGGUUGCCUCCAAGAAUAAAUUUGCAGGGGAACCUAUUGGUUUUCUCCUCUAAGAAACUAUAUGUAUGUUUUUCCCCCUAGGAAAGCCAUACAAAUUAGCAGCCCCUGCUGAACAAAAUUAACUUUUUGAAAUUUAGCUAGUGACAUAAAGAGCCUUUGGAAAAUCCUAAGUAUAGAAUAAUCAGGCAUCUACUGAUGGAAAAUUCCAUCAGGGAGAUGGGAAGAAGGGUUGAAAUAUAAGAAAACUCCUUAUAUAUUUAUUUUUUAUUUUUACAGCCAUACCUGCAGCAUAUGGAAGUUCCUGGGCUAUGGGCUGUGUGGCCGCUGUAGCUGAGGCCUACACUGCAGUCAUGGCAACACCAGAUCUGAGCUGCAUCCAUGACCCAUGCUGCACCUUGGGGCAAGGCCACAUCCUUAACUCAUUGAGUGAGGCCAGGUAUUGAACCUACAUCUUCAAAGAAACAACAUCAGGUUCUUAACCCACUGAGCCACAAUGGGAACUCUGAGAAAAUUCUUCUUUUUAAAUAAAUGAAUGUUUAUGGACAAGUAAAAGGACAAAGAAUAGUGAAGGCAUAAAAGACAGAAAAUCAAUGAACAGGAAAGAAACUAAAAUUUUUCUCAUCUGAAAUGGGGAGACACAAAAUCUCUCUCUCUCUUUCUCACUCUCUCUCACUUUCUCUCAUUGGCUCCUGUGUAGGCUGACUCUAGAGAUGGUCACAGAAGCUGUAGGAAAUGGAGAAUAUAAACUAAAUAAUCAACAAUUCAGAUUCAUCAAAUCAACAAAUAUUCCCAGACAGCCUGGGGUAGUAGAAAGAACUCAAAUCUGAGUUCUGAUCUCAACCCCAACCUUUACUGGUUCAAUCUUUGAGCAAAUUAAUCUUUCUAAACCCAAAAUGGGAGUGACAUGCAUAUAUGGAAGAGUUUUAUGAAAAUUAGAAGUAAUAAAGGUGAAAUAUCUGGAAUAUAAUAGGUACUUCAUAAAUAAUAGAUAGUAUUAUUAUUAAAAGUGUAUAAAGCAAUAUAAGUUAAACAUGAUUAUUAACUUUAAGGUGUUUAUAAGCAAUAAGUGUAUGAUACAUUAAGUAUAAUCUACUAAAAAUCUUCAGUAAUUAUUUCCUGAAAAUUGAAUUUUUUCAAAAGUGAGAGAAGAGAAAAACUCCCUGAAAGUUCUGGGGAAAAGGGAACAAAAUGCUUUAGGACACAUAAAAAUGGCAAAAACUACCCCUAAAACGAACAUACUACAACAACUUGGCAUUUUUAUUAGGAAAUAGAUUUUUGCCCACUGGUUCUCAGGAACAAUUAAAUAUUACAUAAAUGGUUACACAAGACAUAGGAUGUGAGCUGCUCCACGGAAAAUAGAAAGGAUUUAGGUAGGUAAAGGAAGAAGGAAGGUUUCCAAAAGGAAGGAGGGGUGUGAUGCAAAAGGACACAUGUAUCUGAAAUGAUCCUGAGCUUUUAAAUGCCACCAUCCUCCCAGCUCCAAUAAAAGAAACUCCUGACACCCUUGCUUUAUUCACAACUACAUGCUAAACAUUUUUUAAAUAUAUAUUGUAGUAUUCUUGCACCAGGCUGGGAGACCUAUUACUGAUCUCUUGAUUUCUUGCUUCAUUUCCUGUCUACUGCUCCAAACUCUACCCUAGGACCCAAUGUAUAAUAUACUGUCUCUUCUGGUUUUACCCCUUGACUUCCUUUCCUUGAUAAUAAUUUGAGCUUGUCUCUUACAGUGUCUUUUUCUGGUUCUUCCAGAUGACUAUUCAGUCUGAUCCCAUGGAGCUACUAGAGCUAGGGU